AGAAUUAUACAUCAAUUGUUUAGCUUCUGACCCAUACGACGACAUGGUGGCGCCGCCCUGUUUCAACCACAACAAUGGCAUCUCUCACCCCUGGCAUCCUCUCCAAACUUGUCCAAAAUCUCAACAACACUGUCGCCGGAGGGUAUUGAGAAGAAAGUGGGUGUGAAAGAAAAGAUUGAGGGUUCGGAGCAUCUUUGAUCUUCAGAGCCAUUGAUUAGCCCCCAAUCACAUUGUGGGUCGAAUACAAAACCUAAUUUGGGGGUUUUUGAGAAGGUCUCUGUAAAAAAAAGAAGAUUUUAUGGAUGGGUUUGAUGAGUUUAAGAUCGUAAAGAGAUAGGUUACAAUAGGUUAGAGAGAGAACGUCCUCUUUCGUUGCAGAAGUAGCAAUCUUCGAGAGUCACAGCAACAAUGGCCACAAUGGUUGCUUUUCUGAGCUCCUUUACUUCUUUUUCUCUCUCCUCAAAUUCCUUCUUGGGCCAAUGCAUCUACAGUUCAAUGUCUUCCCUCAUUGUGUCUGUUUUGUUUCGUGUUAUUUGAUUUUGGGGCAAAACAUCUCGAAAUUGCCAUAUACAGUUCAAAUUUAAGGUCGAGGCAUCAACCAAUCAAGUGGCGGACCAGGAGAUGCCGAUGUAUAAUCUUCCAUCGAAGAUCCUUUGCUAUGUGCUCAAUGUCCAAUUGAAGACACUGAUGAGGUGUUUGCCCAAGUGACCCUGCUUCCUCUAAAAGAAGAUGAGAAUGAGGUGGAGAAAGAACCUAUGCCAUCUCCACCACCACGCUUUCAUGUGCAUUCUUUUUGUAAGACCCUAACUGCCUCAGAUACUAGCACUCAUGGUGGAUUUUUGGUGCUAAGACAGCAUGCUGAUGAAUGCCUUCCCCCUCUAGACAGAUCACAGAAACCACCAAAUAAGGAGUUUGUUGUAAAGGAUUUGCAUGGAGACGAGUGGCGUUUCAGACAUAUCUUUCAGGGUAAUUGCUUAAAUAUUCUUUUGUGAGCUUAUAUAGUCAUUUGGAAUACCAUCCACAAUGCAUUCUAUGCAAGUACAUCAAGAAAUUAGGGACUUAUAUUUAUGUUUUAAAGUCAUGGCACUAUUGAGUUUGGCUUGUGAUUAAAGGAGGUGCAUCAAUUUUGCUAACUUACAUUGCUUCUGAAAGGAUCAUUCCGAGGUACAUUUCAAUUUUGUCUUGUUUACUCAAUUCUAUCAUUAGUCCAUCUGACCAAUUACACAAGGAGCAAAUGCUGUCAAUUGAAACGUUUCUACAUGCAGAUAUGGAUGCUACUGCUUUAUAUAGGUAAUACUACUGUUUUAUAUGGGUAAUACUAUUUAACAGUAUUAUGAUUUAGAGUCACAACAGCAAAUUAUAAGUGAUAUGAUGUUAUAAAGUUUCUUUCUGGUAUAGUAUUAGUUUAAGGGAAAUAGCAUUUUUCAAAAUUUUCUUUAUUGUGAUUGGCAAUUAGCUCCAACAUGCUACUUAAACUUCUAGUUUAUGAUAUAGUAGUAUUACUUUCUUUUUAAUUAUUAACAAGAAAAGCUUAGAGGAAUAUUUAAAUCCUAAGCUUAAUAUGCCAUGAACCAAUUUGAUAAUGGCAUUGUUGAUAGACUAAAACGUUCAAGGAAGCUGGAAGCAUUUAAAAGAAAGGAUCGAUUGACCCACAAAUUUUGUUGAAGGUGAAGUUAAUUUUUAAAUGCAUGUUGUGUAGUGAAGAACAUAGCAAUUGAUUUGGAGUGGUUUGUGAUUAUUUGUAGACAGAGCUGGCAUAAUCUUUUGAUAACUUUCCAAAUUAUGCAGCUUGUGUUUAAGCUCCAGAUAAUAAUUAUUUUCAUAGGUUACAUUGCAAGGUUUUGACGCCACUUUAACAGAAUUUUUUUCGCCUGGCUGCAUUUUUACCUGUUCUGGAUUUGAAUAAGUUGAAAUAUAUGAACCUUCAGAAAGAUUGAGUAGGGGGGCUCAAGUUAACUCCAUUUUUAAAUUUUAUCAUUCUGUUGUAUGCAGAACCGAAAGAUGUACGAUCUUGUCUCCCUGCCCUACCAUCCUUAAAUUAAAAAGGCUUUCGACUGCUACAGAACCCUACAAAGUACAAACACUCAGCUGCAUACUAAUUUCCUUCCAAACCAAUUUAACUGAUUCAUGAGUGACAUGUUUCACUAAAGGAAAACUCUUUUUAGAAAUUUACCUAUUGGCAUACUUUUGUUUGUGUUUUUUAAAGAUGUUAAAAAUUUAACAUGCAUUGUUUGCCCUUAUCUUUUAUUACAUCUUACCUUUCUAAUCUAUAUAUGUCGUGCAUUUCUUCUCUUGCACUUUUAUGCGCUAAAUGCAGGAAAGCUGCUAAAUGCACUGAUAUGUGAAUACAUGGACUCAGCACAAUUGAGCCACACACAAAAAGUUUAUCUGCUAGAGUGUAAUUUGAGUUGAAAAGAUCUCUUUAUGCCUUGUUCUCACAAUAUGGAAGGAUUUUCGACAUUGUUGCUUUGAAAACUGCCAAGCUUUGAGGACAAGCAUGGGUUGUGUUUAAUGAAGUGCCAGUUGCCAGUGAUGCAGUGAGACAAACGCAAAACUUUCCAUUUUAUGAUAAACCAAUGGCAUGUCUAAAUUACACAUUUGUAUUUAAUAUACUUUGUGCAUGCACAUGUGGUGUGUGAUUAUCUGUUACAAUUUUAUAACUUCAAACUUCUGGAAACCAAAUUUACUUGCAGACUGGCUCCCUUAUGUCUCCUUGAUGUAGGACAACUUACACGUAACCAUUGAUUGAUACUCCUACAAGCUCUGGUGCCAAAAUUCAUGUAAGGAAGCAGCAAGCCAGCAAUAUGAGGUUUUUUUCAGUUUGAUUAUUAUUAGCUCGACACAUAGGUAAUUGUUCGUGGAUAUUUUGGAUUUUAGGCUUGUAAGAAUAUAAGGAAGGUGUAAGGUUUUGAUGUUCUAAUUGAGUAGAUUUGGGGCUGUUAUGAGGUUGUACAUAGCCAUCUGAAACAGUAUCUAGGGGCUCUUUUUGAAGUCAUUUGGGAUCAAUUGAUUGCUGAAAAUUUAGAAAAGAGAAUUUAUGGAGGACAUCUAUUAUAGGGUUUUGGUACUAGAGUAACAGUUUAUAAUUUUGAGAAAGAAUCGCGAUUAAUGAAUUAGACAAUUAGAUUGGAUAAUCAAUGAAAUAAUUGGCUUAUUAAGCCAAUUGUGAUUAAAUUUUAAAAUUAUGCUUGCAUAUAAUCUAGAUUCAAGAUAAAGAAAGGGAAUGAGAAAGGCAAAUAGGAUCCUAGGAUCACUUCUUGAGUAUCUUAGGCAUCGUAUUUAUAGUUGUUGUUUUCACAUAAAUCCCAAUUCCUGCGACAACCCUUGGAUUCAAUCCACCGGAUAGGGACAUCACCGAGAAACUCCCUCGCUGAAGUGAUGACAUGCUCAUCAAUCCUUGGACUUUAUUCCGCUAUCUGGUAAAAAGUUUGGAAAAGAGGUAACUUCAUUAGAGACAACUUCAUUAGAGGUAUGAAAAAAAAGGUUUUGCUUUAUGUGGAUUUUAUUUGCAUAUAUGUUGAGAUUAUUGAGAUCUUCAAUUUUUGCUAAUUUUUCAUUAUGACAUUGCUUUUAUGAGGCCAUUGAAUUAUCUUAUUAAUUUUGGAAAUGUUUUGUUGAUGUUUUAAAAUUUAUUGAUCAUUUCUUAAUACCUCAAGAAAUAUUUUUGUCUCCGCGUCGUUGGUUUUUGUACUUAUGUGAAGUUUCCUUUGUCAUGCAGACAAGAAAUGUAAUAGGGUUAGUUGCUUCAGCGAUUGCUAUGAGUUUAGGUUCCUUAACACAUACAUUGGGUACACUUAUCCCUGAGAUAGGAGCAAGUGGAUUUGCUACUGCUGCAACUGCAACUACUAUAAGAACUAUUGUCGGUAGUUUUAGAUAAUCUAUUAAUAAUUGCCGAUAUGUUUAGAAAGUUAGAUACGCAUAGUUUUGGAUGGUUUAAACUUUUUGUACAAUUUAGAACUUAAGGAUAUAGUUUUUGAAUGUUUGGAA